rnacentral:rRNA from 1 species
ACGAGGAGACGAGGUGGUGCAUGGUUGUCGUCAGCUCGUGUCGUGAGAUGUUGGGUUAAGUCCCGCAACGAGCGCAACCCCUACGUUUAGUUGCUAACGCGUGAAGGCGAGCACUCUAGACGAACUGCCGUUGACAAAACGGAGGAAGGUGGGAUGACGUCAAAUCAUCAUGCCCCUUAUGUUCUGGGCUACACACGUGCUACAAUGGCCGGUACAGACGGACGCAAAGCCGCGAGGUGGAGCAAAUCCUAAAAAGCCGGUCUCAGUUCGGAUUGCAGGCUGCAAUUCGCCUGCAUGAAGUCGGAAUCGCUAGUAAUCGCAGGUCAGCAUACUCGCGGUCCGAAUACGUUCCGGGCCUU